rnacentral:lncRNA from 1 species
CCAUACUUCUGAUAAAUUGUCCUCUCCAUAGACAUGGAAAUUAGCUUCAGUGUAGCAGCAAAGCUUAAAGGAGCAGGUGAGUAGUUAGCUAGGAGUAUGCCACCAUAUCUAAGCCAUUGGCUAUAGAGUAUCAUCUAUGGGGUCAUGCAUAGAAGGGGCCAGGGAAUGAGUUAAGUACAAGAAGGCACCCUAGUAUAGUAAAAAAUAAGACAGGAGUUGAAGUCAGAAGACCAGCUUUAGUCUCUAACUUUGCAGUUUACUGCAUGAGUGAUUAUGUGUCCAUUGUUUGUCCUCUAGGAGCCUUAGUGUCCCCAUAUGAAAGAUAAAGAAUCAAAUGGAUAUUACAUGCAAAAUAUCUUGGGACUCAUAAUCACUAUGUAACCAUCACAGAAAGGAAGAAUACAUUAUUCUGAACCCUGGGCUUGUCUGAGCUGUGCACAGAUUUUAAUGAAUCCCUGAUUCUGUCUCAGAAAAAUAGAAUUACUAUUUGGCAUGGUACCAAUCCAUUUCUUUCUUUUUUUGAGACAGAAUCUCGCUCCGUCACCCAGGCUGGAGUGCAGUGGCUCAAUCUUGGCUCACUGCAACCUCUGCCUCCCAGGUUCAAGCAAUUCUCCUGCCUUAGCCUCCCGAAUAGCUGAGACUACAGGCGCGUACCGUCUCAUUCAGCUAUUUUUUUGUAUUUUUAGUGGAGACGGGGUUUCACCGUGUUAGCCAGGAUGGUCUUGGUUUCCUGACCUCGUGAUCCACCCGCCUCGGCCUCCAAAAGUAUUGGGAUUAUAGGAGUGAGCCACCACACCUGGCCUCCAUUUCAUUUUUAUCCAUGGGGAAAACAGAUGAAGGCUCUAAGAUGGGUGAUAACACUUCCAAGGAUCUGUUUUCCAGGAAACCCAACCUGUAAAGUUGAUACCAAGAGCGGUUUAAGAAAACAAGUGCUAAAAUGGAGUUUUGGAGCCAGAUUACCUGCUACUUUGCCAACAAUGAAGACACCAUCCCUGGUAGUAGGUGAAGCACAGAGAGCCCUGCUACAACUAUCCAGUUGUCAAAGGUUUUACUGGUGGUACAUCGGGAUGGUAUAGCAGUAUAAGGGAAUCCACUAGUUGGUUCCAUAUAUCAGGCAUUUGAGGAAUAUGGGUGAAAUAGAAACAAAACAACAAAAAAUUGAG